AGCAAGUUGUGGAUAAAGCAUAAUAUUCACACAUUCGCCGUUGGUACAUGCAUUUCCAUAUCCCUAUAUAUACAUGAUAUUAUGAUAAAGAGGGAUUCAUAGAGUGUGAGAGAGAUAAGGGAGAAGCAGAGGCGUUGAUACAAAGAACAAUGAGCAAGAGCCAGUGGAUACCAGCGCAGCAGCUUACUAUUCAUAAAGAGAAAGAAGGGUGGAUAUCGACUCAUCCUCCUGGCUGCAAAAGGUUCUCUCUCUCUUUCUCUCUAUCUCUCUCUCUCUCUCUCUCAGUAUGUUGAUUAUUACUUUUCCUUUACCUAAUGAAGUAACUAAGGAUAUCCCAUCUCUAACAAUAUAGAUGAGGUGGUUUAUGUACAUGUACAAACGCUUAUUCAUACAAUGAUAAACAAUCUGUAAAUUUCAUUGAAGAUGAUGAUGAGCAAUUUAUAUGUUGGUUGCA